CUACACAUGCAGUCGAGGGGUAGUUACUUUCGGGUAAUGAGACCGGCGCACGGGUGCGUAACGCGUAUGCAAUCUACCUUUUACAGGGGAAUAGCCCAGAGAAAUUUGGAUUAAUGCCCCAUAAUAUAUGUUUUUCGCAUGUUAGACAUAUUAAAGUUCCAACGGUAAAAGAUGAGCAUGCGUCCCAUUAGUUAGUUGGUAAGGUAACGGCUUACCAAGACGAUGAUGGGUAGGGGUCCUGAGAGGGAGAUCCCCCACACUGGUACUGAGACACGGACCAGACUCCUACGGGAGGCAGCAGUGAGGAAUAUUGGACAAUGGGCGCAAGCCUGAUCCAGCCAUGCCGCGUGCAGGAAGACGGUCCUAUGGAUUGUAAACUGCUUUUGUACGGGAAGAAACACUCCUACGUAUAGGAGCUUGACGGUACCGUAAGAAUAAGGAUCGGCUAACUCCGUGCCAGCAGCCGCGGUAAUACGGAGGAUCCAAGCGUUAUCCGGAAUCAUUGGGUUUAAAGGGUCCGUAGGCGGUUUAGUAAGUCAGUGGUGAAAGCCCAUCGCUCAACGAUGGAACGGCCAUUGAUACUGCUAGACUUGAAUUACAAGGAAGUAACUAGAAUAUGUAGUGUAGCGGUGAAAUGCUUAGAUAUUACAUGGAAUACCAAUUGCGAAGGCAGGUUACUACUUGUGGAUUGACGCUGAUGGACGAAAGCGUGGGGAGCGAACAGGAUUAGAUACCCUGGUAG
rnacentral:rRNA from 1 species